rnacentral:rRNA from 1 species
CCUACGGGUGGCUGCAGUGGGGAAUAUUGGACAAUGGGCGAAAGCCUGAUCCAGCCAUGCCGCGUGUGUGAAGAAGGCCUUCGGGUUGUAAAGCACUUUCAGUGGGGAAGAAAGCCUUGGGGCUAAUACCCUCGAGGAAGGACAUCACCCACAGAAGAAGCACCGGCUAACUCCGUGCCAGCAGCCGCGGUAAUACGGAGGGUGCGAGCGUUAAUCGGAAUUACUGGGCGUAAAGCGCGCGUAGGCGGUCUGAUAAGCCGGUUGUGAAAGCCCCGGGCUCAACCUGGGAACGGCAUCCGGAACUGGCAGGCUAGAGUGCAGGAGAGGAAGGUAGAAUUCCCGGUGUAGCGGUGAGAUGCGUAGAGAUCGGGAGGAAUACCAGUGGCGAAGGCGGCCUUCUGGACUGACACUGACGCUGAGGUGCGAAAGCGUGGGUAGCAAACAGGAUUAGAUACCCGGGUAGUC